AGCAGCCGCGGUAAUUCCAGCUCCAAUAGCGUAUAUUAAAGUUGUUGCAGUUAAAAAGCUCGUAGUUGAAUUUCGGGAUCAAUUUGCUGGUCGUGCCUUCGGUACGCACUGGUAUUAUUGGUUUCUCCUUUCUGAUGAAUCGCGAUGUCAUUAAUUUGGUGUCGUGGGGAAUCAGGACCGUUACUUUGAAAAAUUAGAGUGUUUAAAGCAGGCUCACGCUUGAAUACAUUAGCAUGGAAUAAUGAAAUAGGACGUUUGAUUCUAUUUUGUUGGUUUCUAGGAUCGACGUAAUGAUUAAUAGGGAUAGUUGGGGGCAUUAGUAUUCAAUUGUCAGAGGUGAAAUUCUUGGAUUUAUUGAAGACUAACUACUGCGAAAGCAUUUGCCAAGGAUGUUUUCAUUAAUCAAGAACGAAAGUUAGGGGAUCGAAGACGAUCAGAUACCGUCGUAGUCUUAACCAUAAACUAUGCCGACUAGGGAUCGGGCGAUGUCGUUUCAAUGACUCGCUCGG
rnacentral:rRNA from 1 species